UGGGGAAUAUUGGACAAUGGGCGAAAGCCUGAUCCAGCCAUGCCGCGUGUGUGAAGAAGGUCUUCGGAUUGUAAAGCACUUUAAGUUGGGAGGAAGGGCAUUAACCUAAUACGUUAGUGUUUUGACGUUACCGACAGAAUAAGCACCGGCUAACUCUGUGCCAGCAGCCGCGGUAAUACAGAGGGUGCAAGCGUUAAUCGGAAUUACUGGGCGUAAAGCGCGCGUAGGUGGUUUGUUAAGUUGGAUGUGAAAUCCCCGGGCUCAACCUGGGAACUGCAUUCAAAACUGACUGACUAGAGUAUGGUAGAGGGUGGUGGAAUUUCCUGUGUAGCGGUGAAAUGCGUAGAUAUAGGAAGGAACACCAGUGGCGAAGGCGACACCUGGACUAAUACUGACACUGAGGUGCGAAAGCGUGGGGAGCAAACA
rnacentral:rRNA from 1 species